rnacentral:rRNA from 1 species
CGUAGGGUGCGAGCGUUAAUCGGAAUUACUGGGCGUAAAGGUGUGCGCAGGUGGCCGCGCAAGUCGAGUGUGAAAUCCCCGAGCUUAACUUGGGAAAUUGCGCUCGAAACUACGUGGCUCGAGUGUGGCAGAGGAAGGUGGAAUUCCACGUGUAGCGGUGAAAUGCGUAGAGAUGUGGAGGAACACCGAUGGCGAAGGCAGCCUUCUGGGCCAACACUGACGCUCAUGCACGAAAGCGUGGGGAGCAAACAGGAUUAGAGUACCCUGGUAGUCCACGCCCUAAACCGAUGAUGACUAGUUGUUGGGGGAGUUAAAUCCCUUAGUAACGCACGCUAACGCGUGAAGUCAUCCGCCUGGGGAGGUACGGUCGCAAGAUUA